GGACUCUAAGAAAUACCUAUUAGGAAAGACGGUUUCAGGGCAAGAGACUCUGCAGCAUAAAUGAGGGUAAGAACAGGAAAUCUAAACUGAUGCUGUGCUUCAUUUCUAACUGUAAAUUGUAAGAUGGUGUGCUUGAUAACCUUGAAGGAUAUCAUUAUACAUUAGGCUCUCAGAGAAAGAAAGGAGAGGAAUGAUCAGAACAAUGUAUAACA
rnacentral:lncRNA from 1 species